AUAAAAAAUAUGAAUUGAGUACACCUUUAAAAUGGAUUAGAAUUAGAUGUCAAGGGAUGUGUGUCCAAGGAUUUUGUGAUGUUUGAUGAGAUUCUAUAGGAAUCAUCGGUGCAUUAUGAAGAAACAAAGGUUAGUGGAUACAAGCAAUGAUUGGAUUCAUAAACUUAUUUAGUUAAGCAAGGUUAUUGCCCUGUUAAUAUCUUAGGAGUUACAUAGAGUCAAUGGAAACAUAGGCUUUGAUUUUAGAUACUUGAGUGUGUAUGGAAAAAGAAAACAAAAGCGAUUUUUUUUGUUGAGCACAUUUACGAGGAAACAACUUAGAAACAUGGUUAAAAGGUAUUUAUUGUUAUAAUCAAGGUAUUAAGUUUAACAUAGGACUGCGGUUGAAUCAAAAAGAAAAUUUAACACAUAACUUUAAGAAUUAAGAACUUAAAAAUAACCAUCAAUGCAUCAUGCAUAUACAUUUUGUAAAUUUUUAUAUUUUUAAUGUAGAAAUGAAUACAUGGUACAUAUUAAUUUAGAUAUUAAUAUUUAUAUAUCGAUUUCUUCUAGUUAAGCCAUUAUAAUUAAUAACUGUGCAAUUAUAAUUAUCUUUUCUAUUUUAACUUAUGGUAAAAACCAUAAUUAAUGUAGAUUUAGUUUCUGAACAUACACUUUCGAAAAAAUAGAGCAAAAAUGGUGCAUAAAUAAACAAUAAAAAAGUACAAAUUUUGCAAAAAAUAACUUACAAACCGUGACUCAUUUGUAUCCUCAACAAUACAUUUAUAAUCAUCUAGGUCAAAUACUUUAUAAAUCCAAACCUUUUGAAAUCUCACUACAUUUAUUUAUUUUUAUAUAUGGAUUGCAAAAGGUUUUGGAUUUAUAAAAUAUGAUAACUUAGAAAAAGAAUGUGUUGGGUGUAAGCACAACAACUAUAUUUAUAUAAGAAAAUAAAGUUUGUUAUAUGUUGUGAAGUAUUUAAGGAAUAUUUGUAGGGUAUUUUGAAACAUUCAAGGAAGACUUUUUUGUGUUAAUGAAAAAUUUAAGGAAUUGUAGUUUUUGAUUUAUCUCGUAUAUAGUUUAUUGUUAUAACUUUUAAGUUAAAGGUAAAUACAUAUAUUGUAAGUUGUAAAUGCGCCUAAGGGGGGGGGGGGGGUGAAUUAGGUGGUUAAAAAUUCUUCGAACUUGUUUCCGUUUUUGGGUUAUUUUACGUUUAAGUGCGGAAAGAUAAAUUGCGGAAAGUAAAAAGACACCGGAAAUUAUAGUGGUUCCCUUCACAAUCCGAAGGUACAUCCACUCCCCGUUCCACACGAAAGAGAUUUCACUAUAGUUAGAGUUAUGGUACAGCCUAUUCACACACACGGUGAUGCCUACUAUCUAACCUAUAGGUAAACAAGUGUAUGAAGAACAAUCCUCUUCAACACCAACCCUUGUGUCCAACAGUCCUGGAUCACAAGUCAAACAGAAAUAAUUCCUAUGAAUGAUUUUAACAAAGUGUAGUAUUAUCAAUCUUCUCUUGAUUGAUCUUCUCCUUAGAUAAAUAAUUCACUCAAAAGAUAAUAUACAAGUGUUCAAAAAUAGAAUGAGAUGAAAGUUUUAUUAUGAACACUUUUGAAAAAUAUUGAAGGAAAAUAUGAGAGAGUGAUUAUUUGAAGUUUGUAUGAAAAUUCUUGGAGGUGAAAAUUCAUUUUGAAAAAUUAAGAAUUUAUAUUGCCAAAACACCUUUUCAAAGAGGUAUCAUUUUAUCCAUAAACAUUGAUGAAAAGAUAUAAUUUUUCAAAAACAUUUUCACUGUAAUGAACAAUGUUAACCGGUUAACCAAAUGGGUUAACCGAUUAACGCAUAUUAACGUUAACAGGGAAUUUUAAAAACUGGGCUGUUAACCGGUUAACCCAUAUGGUUAACCGGUUAACACUGUUGAAAUGCAGAAAAAUACUUUAAGAAAAUUGUGUCUUGCAUUUCAAUCUGUUAACAAAUGGUUAUGUUUAAAAAUGCAAAUGCAGAUCAUGAUUGUUGAACACUUGUAUACUAAUCUACGAGUGAGUUAGAUAUACCUAAGAAGUGAAUCAACAAUCUUGCAAACGGUUGACUUGAAAAUGAAGCUUGAUCAAAAGUUCCUCAUGCAUAUGUGGCUUGAUCACUUUGAUGCUUGAAUUAUCUUUGAAGCUCUUUUCUUUGAUCAAUCCAAGAUAAAUCUUCAAGACUUUAAAAAAUAUGAAAUCUUGUUCUUGCUUCAAUGUCUUGAUCCAUUUCCUUUUUGAGCAUGCAUAACAUCUUGAAUGAAUAAUGUUGUCUUCAUCAAAACCAUUUAGAGGCUUGCCUUCACAUAUAUUAAAUAUUAUCUACUUAAUAUAAAUUUAAGGUUGUCAUGAUGGUAACCCUAAACAAAAUCCUAGCUUCAUACUAAUGUGUCAUCUUCACGAAAUUCUCCUAAUUAAUUUUUUUGUUUGAACUCUCUCAAAAGAAAAAAUUAUUAUUAUCUUAAUAAUCAUUAUUCAAAAAAUAUUCCAAUUAAUAAACAUUAUUAAAAAAAUCAUCCAUUUCUAAAACAAUUUUAAAAACAAUUAAAUUUAUAUAAUUCUAGAAUUUAAAUUAAAUAAAUUUAAUAUGAAUUGAGUACACUUUAAAAUGGAUUAGAAUUAGAUGUCAAGGGAUGUGUGUCCAAGGAUUUUGUGAUGUUUGAUGAGAUUCUAUAGGAAUGAUCGGUGCAUGAUGAAGAAACAAAGGUUAGUGGAUACAAGCAAUGAUUGGAUUCAUAAACUUAUUUAGUUAAGCAAGGUUAUUGCACUGUUAAUAUAUUCGGAGUUACAUAGAGUAAAUGGAAACAUAGGCUUCAAUUUUAGAUGCUUGAGUGUGUAUGGAAAAAGAAAACAAAACCGAUUUUUUUUGUUGAGCACAUUUGCAAAGAAACAACUUAGAAACAUGGUUAUAAGGUAUUUAUUGUUAUAAUCAAGGUAUUAAGUUUAACAUAGGACUGCGGUUGAAUAAAAAAGAAAAUUUAACACACAACUUUAAGAAUUAAGAACUGAAAAAUAACCAUCAAUGCAUCAUGCAUAUACAUUUUGUAAAUUUUUAUAUUUUUAAUGUAGAAAUGAAUUCAUGGUACAUAUUAAUUUAGAUAUUAAUAUUUAUAUAUCGAUUUCUUCUAGUUAAGUCAUUAUAAUUAAUAACUGUGCAAUUAUAAUUAUCUUUUCUAUUUUAACUAUGUAAAACAAAUAGUUUGAUUCAAGUUCUUCUCUGAACAUACACUUUCGAAAAAAUAGAGCAAAAAUGGUGCAUAAAUAAACAAUAAAAAAGUACAAAUUUUGCAAAAAAUAACUUACAAACCAUGACUCAUUUGUAUCCUCAACAUUACAUUUAUAGUCAUCUAGGUCAAAUACUUUAUAGAUCCAAACCUUUUGAAAUCUCACUACAUUUAUUUAUUUUUAUAUAUGGAUUGCAAAAGGUUUUGGAUUUAUAAAAUAUGAUAACUUAGAAAAAGAAUGUGUUGGAUGUAAGCACAACAACUAUAUUUAUAUAAGAAAAUAAAGUUUGUUAUAUAUUAUGAAAUAUUUAAGGAAUAUUUGUAGGGUAUUUUGAAACAUUCAAGGAAGACUUUUUUAUGUUAAUUGAAAAAUUUAAGGAAUUCUAGUUUUUGAUUUAUCUCGUAUAUAGUUUAUUGUUAUAACUUUUAAGUUAAAGGUAAAUACAUAUAUUAAAUAUUAUCUACUUAAUAUAAAUUUAAGGUUGUAUUUUGUGUUAAUUGAAAAAUAUAAGGAAUUGUAGUUUUUGAUUUAUCUCGUAUAUAGUUUAUUGUUAUAACUUUUAAGUUAAAGGUAAAUACAUAUAUUAAAUAUUAUCUACUUAAUAUAAAUUUAAGGUUGUCAUGAUGGUAACCCUACACAAAACCCUAGCUUCAUACUAAUGUGUAAUCUUCACUAAAUUCUCCUAAUUAAUUUUUUUGUUUGAAAUCUCUCAAUAGAAAAAAUUAUUAUUAUCUUAAUAAUCAUUAUUGAAAAAAUAUUCCAAUUAAUAAACAAUAUUAAAAAAAUCAUCCAUUUCUAAAACAAUUUAAUUUAUAUAAUUCUAUUUGAAUAUUAACUUUUUGUCUAAUUUCGUUUUUUUUCUAAUUGUUUUUACUGUGAUGCUUUAGUUAGUUACACACCCAACUUUUCUUUUAGUUAAAUAGUUUUUUUGUUAGAAAUAUUAUUUCACGUUCCAAGAAUUGGUAGAAUAGAAAUCGAAAUUAACUUACAAUGUUAUAUAUUGAUGACUAAUCUGGGUGAUCUUUAAGAAAUUUUCCAAGCAUUUGUGUAGCAUUUCAAACAGGGGAAUUAUUCCAUAAUUGUUGAAGUUGAACCUACUGCAUAAAUUACUCAUAAGGACCGAAUUACGACAGGAGGAUCAUGGCUAAAUCCUUCAAAAUGGAUUAGAAUUAGAUGUCAAGGGAUGUGUGUCCAAGGAUUUUGUGAUGUUUGAUGAGAUUCUAUAGGAAUGAUCGGUGCAUGAUGAAGAAACAAAGGUUAGUGCAUACAAGCAAUGAUUUGAUUCAUAAACUUAUUUAGUUAAGCAAGGUUAUUGCACUGUUAAUAUCUUCGGAGUAGCAUAGAGUCAACGGAAACAUAGGCUUUGAUUUUAGAUACUUGAGUGUAUAUGGAAAAAGAAAACAAAAGCGAUUUUUUCUGUUGAGCACAUUUGCAAAGAAACAACUUAGAAACAUGGUUAUAAAGUUAGAAUGAUCGUGUGCAGUAUGAAGAAACAAAGGUUAGUGGAUACAAGCAAUGAUUGGAUUCAUAAACUUAUUUAGUUAAGCAAUAAGAACUUAAAAAUAACCAUCAAUNGUAUUUAUUGUUAUAAUCCAGGUAUUAAGUUUAACAUAGGACUGCGGUUGAAUCAAAAAGAAAUUUAACACAUAACUUUAAGAAUUAAGAACUUAAAAAUAACCAUCAAUGCAUCAUGCAUAUACAUUUUGUAAAUUUUUAUAUUUUAAUGUAGAAAUGAAUACAUGGUACAUAUUAAUUUAGAUAUUAAUAUUUAUAUAUCGAUUUCUUCUAGUUAAGCCAUUAUAAUUAAUAACUGUGCAAUUAUAAUUAUCUUUUCUAUUUUAACUUAUGGUAAAAACCAUAAUUAAUGUAGAUUUAGUUUCUGAACAUACACUUUCAAAAAAUAGAGCAAAAAUGGUGCAUAAUAAACAAUAAAAAAGUACAAAUUUUGCAAAAAAUAACUUACAAACCGUGACUCAUUUGUAUCAACAAUACAUUUAUAAUCAUCUAGUCAAAUACUUUAUAAUCCAAACCUUUUGAAAUCUCACUACAUUUAUUUAUUUUAUAUAUGGAUUGCAAAAGGUUUUGGAUUUAUAAAUAUGAUAACUUAGAAAAAGUGUGUGGGUGUAAGCACAACAACUAUAUUUAUAUAAGAAAAUAUAGUUGUUAUAUGUUGUGAAUAUUUAAGGAAUAUUUGUAGGGUAUUUUGAAACAUUCAAGGAAGACUUUUUGUGUUAAUUGAAAAAUUUAAGGAAUUGUAGUUUUUGAUUUAUCUCGUAUAUAGUUUAUUGUUAUAACUUUUAAGUUAAAGGUAAAUACAUAUAUUAUAUUCUACUUAAUAUAAAUUUAAGGUUGUCAUGAUGUAACCCUAAACAAAAUCCUAGCUUCAUACUAAUGUGUCAUCUUCACGAAAUUCUCCUAAUUAAUUUUUUUGUUUGAAAUCUCUCAAAAGAAAAAUUAUUAUUAUCUUAAUAAUCAUUAUUCAAAAAAUAUUCAAUUAAUAAACAGUAUUAAAAAAUCAUCCAUUUCUAAAACAAUUUUAAAAACUUAAUUUAUAUAAUUCUAGAAUUUAAAAUUAAUAAAAUUUUAAAAAAUAUGAAUUGAGUACACUUUAAAAUGGAUUAGAAUUAGAUGUCAAGGGAUGUGUGUCCAAGGAUUUUGUGAUGUUUGAUGGAUUCUAUGGAUCGUGUGCAUAUGAAGAAACAAAGGUUAGUGGAUACAAGCAAUGAUUGGAUUCAAAACUUAUUUAGUUAAGCAAGGUUAUUGCACUGUUAAUAUCUUCGGAGUUACAUAGAGUCAAUGGAAACAUAGGCUUUGAUUUUAGAUACUUGAGUGUGUAUGGAAAAAGAAAACAAAACGUUUUUGUUGGAGCACAUAUUGAGAGGGUAACCGACCACAUUGAUGCCGAAGCACACGACAUCGAGCUCCCAUUAUUAUGUAGGUUAUUGCACUGUUAAUAUCUUCGGAGUUACAUAGAGUCAAUGGAAACAUAGGCUUUGAUUUUAGAUGCUUGAGUGUGUAUGGAAAAAGAAAACAAAAGCGAUUUCUUUUGUUGAGCACAUUUGCAGGGGAACAACUUAGAAACAUGGUUAUAACGUAUUUAUUGUUAUAAUCAAGGUAUUAAGUUCAACAUAGGAUUGCGGUUGAAUCAAAAAGAAAAUUUAACACACAAUUUUAAGAAUUAAGAAAUUAAAAAUAACCAUGAAUGCAUGAUGCAUAUACAUUUUGUAAAUUUUUAUAUUUUUAAUGUAGAAAUGAAUACAUGGUACAUAUUAAUUUAGAUAUUAAUAUUUAUAUAUCGAUUUCUUCUAGUUAAGCCAUUUUAAUUAAUAACCGUGCAAUUAUAAUUAUCUUUUCUAUUUUAACUUAUGGUAAAAACCAUAAUUAAUGUAGAUUUAGUUUCUGAACAUACACUUUCGAAAAAAUAGAGCAAAAAUGGUGCAUAAAUAAACAAUAAAAAAGUACAAAUUUUGCAAAAAAUAACUUACAAACCGUGACUCAUUUGUAUCCUCAACAAUACAUUUAUAAUCAUCUAGGUGAAAUACUUUAUAAAUCCAAACCUUUUGAAAUCUCACUACAUUUAUUUAUUUUUAUAUAUGGAUUGCAAAAGGUUUUGGAUUUAUAAAAUAUGAUAACUUAGAAAAAGAAUGUGUUGGGUGUAAGCACAGCAACUAUAUUUAUAUAAGAAAAUAAAGUUUGUUAUAUGUUGUGAAGUAUUUAAGGAAUAUUUGUAGGGUAUUUUGAAACAUUCAAGGAAGACUUUUUUGUGUUAAUUGAAAAAUUUAAGGAAUUGUAGAUUUUGAUUUAUCUCGUAUAUAGUUUAUUGUUAUAACUUUUAAGUUAAAGGUAAAUACAUAUAUUAAAUAUUAUCUACUUAAUAUAAAUUUAAGGUUGUCAUGAUGGUAACCCUAAACAAAAUCCUAGCUUAUUAAAGGUAAAUACAUAUAUUAAAUAUUAUCUACUUAAUAUAAAUUUAAGGUUGUCAUGAUGGUAACCCUAAACAAAAUCCUAGCUUCAUACUAAUGUGUCAUCUUCACGAAAUUCUCCUAAUUAGUGUUUUUGUUUGAAAUCUCUCAAAAGAAAAAAAAAUUAUUAUCUUAAUAAUCAUUAUUCAAAAAAUAUUCCAAUUAAUAAACAGUAUUAAAAAAAUCAUCCAUUUCUAAAACAAUUUUAAAAACAAUUAAAUUUAUAUAAUUCUAUAAUUUAAAAUUAAUAAAAUUUUAAAAAAUAUGAAUUGAGUACACCUUUAAAAUGGAUUAGAAUUAGAUGUCAAGGGAUGUGUGUCCAAGGAUUUUGUGAUGUUUGAUGGGAUUCUAUAGGAAUGAUCGAUGCAUGAUGAAGAAACAAAGGUUAGUGGAUACAAGCAAUGAUUGGAUUCAUAAACUUAUUUAGUUAAGCAAGGUUAUUGCACUGUUAAUAUCUUCGGAGUUACAUAGAGUCAAUGGAAACAUAGGCUUAUUUUUUGUUUGAAAUCUCUCAAAAGAAAAAAUUAUUAUUAUCUUAAUAAUCAUUAUUCAAAAAAUAUUCCAUUUAAUAAACAGUAUUAAAAAAAUCAUCCAUUUCUAAAACAAUUUUAAAAACAAUUAAAUUUAUAUAAUUCUAGAAUUUAAAAUUAAUAAAAUUUUAAAAAAUAUGAAUUGAGUACACCUUUAAAAUGGAUUACAAUUAGAUGUCAAGGGAUGUGUGUCCAAGGAUUUUGUGAUGUUUGAUGGGAUUCUAUAGGAAUGAUCGGUGCAUGAUGAAGAAACAAAGGUUAGUGGAUACAAGCAAUGAUUGGAUUCAUAAACUUAUGUAGUUAAGCAAGGUUAUUGCACUGUUAAUAUCUUCGGAGUUACAUAGAGUCAAUGGAAACAUAGGCUUUGAUUUUAGAUACUUGAGUGUGUAUGGAAAAAGAAAACAAAAACGGUUUUUUUAUUGAGCACAUUUACAAGGAAACAACUUAGAAACAUGGUUAUAAGGUAUUUAUUGUUAUAAUCAAGGUAUUAAGUUUAACAUAGGACUGCGGUUGAAUCAAAAAAGAAAAAAUUUAAAACACAUAAACUUUAAGAAUUAAGAACUUUAAAAUUAAAACCUUCAAUGCAUCAUGCAUAUACAUUUUGUAAAUUUUUAUAUUUUUAAUGUAGAAAUGAAUACAUGGUACAUAUUAAUUUAGAUAUUAAUAUUUAUAUUUCGAUUUCUUCUAGUUAAGCCAUUAUAAUUAAUAACUGUGCAGUUAUAAUUAUCUUUUCUAUUUUAACUUAUGGUAAAAACCAUAAUUAAUGUAGAUUUAGUUUCUGAACAUACACUUUCGAAAAAAUAGAGCAAAAAUGGUGCAUAAAUAAACAAUAAAAAAGUACAAAUGUUGCAAAAAAUAACUUACAAACCGUGACUCAUUUGUAUCCUCAACAAUACAUUUAUAAUCAUCUAGGUCAAAUACUUUAUAAAUCCAAACCUUUUGAAAUCUCACUAUAUUUAUUCAUUUUUAUAUAUGGAUUGCAAAAGGUUUUGGAUUUAUAAAAUAUGAUAACUUAGAAAAAGAAUGUGUUAGGUUUAAGCACAACAACUAUAUUAGUAUAAGAAAAUAAAGUUUGUUAUAUGUUGUCAAAUAUUUAAUAUGGAUUGCAAAAGGUUUUGGAUUUAUAAAAUAUGAUAACUUAGAAAAAGAAUGUGUUGGGUGUAAGCACAACAACUAUAUUUAUAUAAGAAAAUAAAGUUUGUUAUAUGUUGUGAAAUAUUUAAUGAAUAUUUGUAGGGUAUUUUGAAACAUUCAAGGAAGACUUUUUUGUGUUAAUUGAAAAAUUUAAGGAAUUGUAGUUUUUGAUUUAUCUCGUAUAUAGUUUAUUGUUAUAACUUUUAAGUCAAAGGUAAACACAUAUAUUAAAUAUUAUCUACUUAAUAUAAAUUUAAGGUUGUCAUGAUGGUAACCAUAAACAAAAUCCUAGCUUCAUACUAAUGUGUCAUCUUCACGAAAUUCUCCUAAUUAAUUUUUUUGUUUGAAAUCUCUCAAAACAAAAAAUUAUUAUUAUCUCAAUAAUCAUUAUUCAAAAAAUAUUCCAAUUAAUAAACAGUAUUAAAAAAAUCAUCCAUUUCUAAAACAAUUUUAAAAACAAUUAAAUUUAUAUAAUUCUAGAAUUUAAAAUUAAUAAAAUUUNUUCAAGGAAGACUUUUUUGUGUUAAUUAAAAAAUUUAAGGAAUUGUAGUUUUUGAUUUAUCUCGUAUAUAGUUUAUUUUUAUAACUUUUAAGUUAAAGGUAAAUACAUAUAUUAAAUAUUAUCUACUAAAUAUAAAUUUAAGGUUGUCAUGAUGGUAACCCUAAACAAAAUCCUAGCUUCAUACUAAUGUGUCAUCUUCACGAAAUUCUCCUAAUUAAUUUUUUUGUUUGAAAUCUCUCAAAAGAAAAAAUUAUUAAUAUCUUAAUGAUCAUUAUUCAAAAAAUAUUCCAAUUAAUAAACAGUUUUAAAAAAAUCAUCCAUUUCUAAAACAAUUUUAAAAACAAUUAAAUUUAUAUAAUUCUAGAAUUUAAAAUUAAUAAAAUUUUAAAAAAUAUGAAUUGAGUACACCUUUAAAAUGGAUUAGAAUUAGAUUUCAAGGGAUGUGUGUCCAAGGAUUUUGUGAUGUUUGAUGGGAUUCUAUAGGAAUGAUCGGUGCAUGAUGAAGAAACAAAGGUUAGUGGAUACAAGCAAUGAUUGGAUUCAUAAACUUAUUUAGUUAAGCAAGGUUAUUGCACUGUUAAUAUCNCAAUUCAAUUUACCAUUAUAAUAAAUCUAGAAUAUAUAAAUAAUUUUUUAAAUUAAAGAAUUUUUAAUAAUUAAAUGAAUUUUGAUAAUGAAUGAAGAUAAUAAUUUCUCUUGAGGGAGCAAACAAAAAAAUAAUAGAGAAUGUCGUGAAGAGAACAUUCAUAUGAAUCAGGAUUGUAGUACCAUCAUGACAACUCUUAAAUAAUAAGUAAAAAAUUUAAUAUAGAUUUACCUUUAACUAAAAGUAAAACAAAACAAAUACGAAUAAACAAAAAACAAUCCUAAAUUUCAAUAACAAAAAAACUCCUUGAAAUUUCAAAAUUACCCACAAAAUAUUCAUAAAUAGUCAAAACAAAAAAUAAAAAACUUAUCUAAUAAAAUAGUGUGCUACACCCAAACAUCUCUAAUUAUAUAUUAAAACCUCAAAACCUUUCAACCAAAAAAUAAAUAAAUGCAGAAACUCAAAGGGAUUCAAAAUAUUUGACCUAAAUAAAAUGUAGGAGGAAUACAAAGAUAAUGGGGAAUAUUUUCAAAAUACCUUAUAGUUAAUACACCAUGCUUUUUUGAAUUAGUCAAAACAAAUCUACAUAAUAUUUACCAUAAUAAAUAAAAAGAAAUAACAGCACGUAUAAUUAUAAUGCUAACAGAAAAAGGAUAUAUAAAUAUAAUAUCAAAUAAUAGGACCAGUAUUCAUCACAAAAAAUAAACUACAAAAUAAUACAAUCAACGUUAUUUAGUUCUAAUCUAAAGUGAUGUUAAAUCUUUUGACAACCGCAAGUCCUAUUAAACGUAAACCUGAUAAACAAAAUACCUUAAACCUUCAAUGGGGUUUCGUGAUGUGCUCAACAAAAAAACGUCUUUGUUCUUUCCAACACACUCAAAUCAAAAUCAAGCAGUUCCACUUGACUCUAUGAACACGAAAUAUAACUGCAAAAUCUGCUAACAAAUACAGUACUUGAACCAAUCCCAUGCUUAUCCACUAACCUUUGUGUCUCCAUAUCACCGAAUCACAAAAAUCUCACAAACACACAAAAUCCUGGACACACAUCAUGACAUCAACCACUCAUUUAAAGUUACCAACAUAUUAUGUAUAUUUUAUGAAUUAAAUAAAUUAUAAAAUUGCUUUAAAUGUUAGAAAUGAUGAUUUAUACUUGUUAUAAUUGGAAUAGUCCACAUAAGAUUAAAGAAAAAAAUUCUUUGACAGAUUCAACACAAAAAAAAUAAAGAGAAUCUAAGAAAAUAGACAAGAUUGUUUAGGGUAGCCAUCAGACAACCUUAAAUUAUAUAGAGAUAAUAUUAAUAUAUAAUACCUUAACAAAAGUAUAACAAUAAACUACUAUAGAGAUAAAUACAAAAACUACUAAUCCUAAAUCUUUCAUAAACAAAAAAGCUCUCCUGAAUUUCAAAAUACCCCUACAAAUUACUUAAAUAUUCAUAACAAAACAAACUAUACAUAUAAAUAUAGUGCUACACCCAAACACACUCUUCUAAAUCAAUAUUAUAAUCCAAAACUUGCAAUCAUAAAAAAAUAAAAAAUGAGAUUCAAAGGUUGGAUCUAUAAAAUACCAGAUGAUAAAGAUAUGUUAGGAACAAAGAGUCAUUGAGUUUGAAUAUUCAUAACUGGUAUAUUUAUUUUAUACACCAUUUUGCUCAUUUUGAAAGUGAUUCAAAAACAAUCUACAUUAAUAGGUUGUUACAUAAGUAAAAAAAGAAAUAAAGCACAGUUAAACUAAUGCUUAACAAAGAACGAUAUAUACAAAAAUAUAUCAAUUAAUAUGUCCAGUACAUUUCACAUUAAAAAUAAAAUUAAAAUAUAUCACGAGCAUGAUGUACUUAAUUCUAAUUCUUAAAGUUGUGUUAAACAUUCUUUUGAUUCAACCGCAGUCCAUAAACUAAUCCCUGAUAUAACAAAUACCUAUAAACAUGUUCCAGUGUCUGAAAUGGCCAAAAAAACCCGUUUGUUUUCUUUCGCAUCACACUACAAGAUCAAAUCAAAGCCUAGUUUCCAUGAUACGCUAGACCCGAAAAUACAGCAAUAACCUUGCCUAACAAUAAAGUUUGAAUCAUCAGUGCUGAUCCAACUAACCGUUUCAUCAUCACCGAUCAUUCCUAGAACUCAUCAACAUCACAAAACCUGACACACAACCCUUUACACUAAUGCUACACAUUUUAAAGGGUACUAAUCAAUUAUUAAAUAUUAAUUAAAUCUAGAAUAAAAAUAAUGUAUUAAAAAAUGUUAAAGAGGAGAUUUAAUAAUCGUUAUACAUGGAAUAUUUGAAAAUGAAUUAUAAGAUAAUAAUAAGUCAUUGAGAAUUCAAACAAAAAAAUUAAUAGAGAUUCGAAGAUACACAUUAGUAUAACAGAUUGUUAGGUACCAUCAUACAACCUUAAAUUUAUAUUAAUAGAAAAUAAUAUAUGUAUUACCUUAACUAAAUAUAACCAAUAAACUAAUAUACAAAUAAAUCAAAACUACAAUUCCUUAAAUUUCAAUAACACAAAAAAGCUCUGAAUGUUCAAAAUACCCACAAAUACUAAAUACUCAAACAAUAACAAACUAACUUAUAAAAUAAGGGCACACCCAACACAUUUUUCAAAGUACAUAUGUAAAACCAAAACUUUUGCCAUCCAUAGAUAACAAAUAAAUAAAGUGUAGUAGAAAUUCAAAAGGUUUGAUCAUAAAUAUUGCCUAGAAUAAAAGUAUAGGGUGAGGAACAAAAUCAGUUGGAAGAUUUUUGCAAAAUAUACUCUAUAUUAGUAGCACGCAUUUUACCCUAUUGUGAAUGGUAUUCAACAAAUCACAUAAUUAAGGUUUACCAAGAAGUAAAAAUGAAAAGAUAAAAAUCACAGUUAUAAUUAAAUGCUAACUAAAAAACUAAGAUAAAAUAUUAAAUCAAAAAUACUGUAGCAUAUCAUUUACAUAAAAAAUAAAAUAACUAAAUUAAUCAGAUGCAUGAUGUUAAUUUAAUAAUUCGUACAAAUUUUAAAUUCUUUGAUCCACCGCAGUUCCAUAAAACCUUGAAUAAUAAAAUACCUAUAACCAUGCUAAGUGUCUUCGCAAAGUGCCAACAAAAAAAACGCUUUCUCUUCCAUACAACCAACACAAAAUCAAAGCCUAUAUUUCCAUGACUCUAAUAACCCGAAGAAUAACAGCGCGCAAAAACUCCAUCAUGCAUAUACAUUUUGUAAAUUUUUAUAUUUUUAAUGUAGAAAUGAAUACAUGGUACAUAUUAAUUUAGAUAUUAAUAUUUAUAUAUCGAUUUCUUCUAGUUAAGCCAUUAUAAUUAAUAACUUUGCAGUUAUAAUUAUCUUUUCUAUUUUAACUUAUGGUAAAAACCAUAAUUAAUGUAGAUUUAGUUUCUGGACAUACACUUUAAAAAAAAUAGAGCAAAAAUGGUGCAUAAAUAAACAAUAAAAAAGUACAAAUUUUGUAAAAAAUAACUUUCAAACCAUGACUCAUUUGUUUCCUCAACAAUACAUUUAUAAUCAUCUAGGUCAAACACUUUAUAAAUCCAAACCUUUUGAAAUCUCACUACAUUUAUUUAUUUAAAUAUAUGGAUUGCAAAAGGUUUUGGAUUUAUAAAAUAUGAUAACUUAGAAAAAGAAUGUGUUGGGUGUAAGCACAACAACUAUAUUUAUAUAAGAAAAUAAAGUUUGUUAUAAGUUGUGAAAUAUUUAUUAAAAUCUCACUACAUUUAUUUAUUUUUAUAUAUGGAUUGCAAAAGGUUUUGGAUUUAUAAAAUAUGAUAACUUAGAAAAAGAAUGUGUUGGGUGUAAGCACAACAACUAUAUUUAUAUAAGAAAAGAAAGUUUGUUAUAAGUUGUGAAAUAUUUAAGGAAUAUUUGUAGGGUAUUUGGAAACAUUCAAAGAAGACUUUUUUGUGUUAAUUGAAAAAUUUAAGGAAUUGUAGUUUUUGAUUUAUCUCGUAUAUAGUUUAUUGUUAUAACUUUUAAGUUAAAGGUAAAUACAUAGAUUACAUAUUAUCUACUUAAUAUAAAUUUAAGGUUGUCAUGAUGGUAACUCUAAACAAAAUCCUAGCUUCAUACUAAUGUGUCAUCUUUACGAACUUCUCCUAAUUAAUUUUUUUGUUUGAAAUGUCUCAAAAGAAAAAAUUAUUAUUAUCUUAAUAAUCAUUAUUCAAAAAAUAUUCCAAUUAAUAAACAAUAUUAAAAAAAUCAUCCAUUUCUAAAACAAUUUUAAAAACAAUUAAAUUUAUAUAAUUCUAGAAUUUAAAAUUAAUAAAAUUUUAAAAAAUAUGAAUUGAGUACACCUUNNNNNNNNNNNNNNNNNNNNNNNNNNNNNNNNNNNNNNNNNNNNNNNNNNNNNNNNNNNNNNNNNNNNNNNNNNNNNNNNNNNNNNNNNNNNNNNNNNNNNNNNNNNNNNNNNNNNNNNNNNNNNNNNNNNNNNNNNNNNNNNNNNNNNNNNNNNNNNNNNNNNNNNNNNNNNNNNNNNNNNNNNNNNNNNNNNNNNNNNNNNNNNNNNNNNNNNNNNNNNNNNNNNNNNNNNNNNNNNNNNNNNNNNNNNNNNNNNNNNNNNNNNNNNNNNNNNNNNNNNNNNNNNNNNNNNNNNNNNNNNNNNNNNNNNNNNNNNNNNNNNNNNNNNNNNNNNNNNNNNNNNNNNNNNNNNNNNNNNNNNNNNNNNNNNNNNNNNNNNNNNNNNNNNNNNNNNNNNNNNNNNNNNNNNNNNNNNNNNNNNNNNNNNNNNNNNNNNNNNNNNNNNNNNNNNNNNNNNNNNNNNNNNNNNNNNNNNNNNNNNNNNNNNNNNNNNNNNNNNNNNNNNNNNNNNNNNNNNNNNNNNNNNNNNNNNNNNNNNNNNNNNNNNNNNNNNNNNNNNNNNNNNNNNNNNNNNNNNNNNNNNNNNNNNNNNNNNNNNNNNNNNNNNNNNNNNNNNNNNNNNNNNNNNNNNNNNNNNNNNNNNNNNNNNNNNNNNNNNNNNNNNNNNNNNNNNNNNNNNNNNNNNNNNNNNAGAAACCCAGUGUUGCAUGGGAGAAGCAAGCACAUUGAGACCAAGUAUCAUUUUCUGAGACAUCAAGUUCAGAGGGGAGUGUUAGAAGUUGUACACUGCAGCACUCAGAAACAGUUGGCAGAUGUUCUGACGAAAGCUAUCAAGACUGAUCAAUUUCUCAGAUUAAGGGAUGGAAUUGGUGUUACAAGUUUUGAUGGAAUAUGAAUUAAGGGAUGGUAUUAGAAGUAAUUCAUAUUUAUUAGUUGUACUAUUUUCUUAGCCCCUAAGUUUGUUAGAGGGUAUUUUAGUAUUUUCUCCUAUUCUAGUAACCCUAGUUUUAACUUAUAAAUAGGGUGGCAAUCAUUGUAACUUUUAUCAUGUUUUGUAGCCGUCAUUCUCUUAAUAGAAUAUUUCCAUUCAUCAUUUAUUCUACCUUUGCACCAACAAAAACCAUAAUUAAUGUAGAUUUAGUUUCUGGACAUACACUUUCAAAAAAAUAGAGCAAAAAUGGUGCAUAAAUAAACAAUAAAAAAGUACAAAUUUUGCAAAAAAUAACUUAUAAACCAUGACUCAUUUGUAUCCUCAAGAAUACAUUUAUAAUCAUCUAGGUCAAACACUUUAUAAAUCCAAACCUUUUGAAAUCUCACUACAUUUAUUUAUUUUUAUAUAUGGAUUGCAAAAGGUUUUGGAUUUAUAAAGUAUGAUAACUUAGAAAAAGAAUUUGUUGGGUGUAAGCACAACAACUAUAUUUAUAUAAGAAAAUAAAGUUUGUUAUAUGUUGUGAAAUAUUUAAGGAAUAUUUGUAGGGUAUUUUGAAACAUUCAAGCAAGACUUUUUUUUGUUAAUUGAAAAAUUUAAGGAAUUGUAGUUUUUGAUUUAUCUCGUAUAUAGUUUAUUGUUAUAACUUUUAAGUUAAAGGUAAAUACAUAUAUUAAAUAUUAUCUACUUAAUAUAAAUUUAAGGUUGUCAUGAUGGUAACCCUAAACAAAAUCCUAGCUUCAUACUAAUGUGUCAUCUUCACGAAAUUCUCCUAAUUAAUUUUUUUGUUUGAAAUCUCUCAAAAGAAAAAAUUAUUAUUAUCUUAAUAAUCAUUAUUCAAAAAAUAUUCCAAUUAAUAAACAGUAUUAAAAAAAUCAUCCAUUUCUAAAACAAUUUUAAAAACAAUUAAAUUUAUAUAAUUCUAGAAUUUAAAAUUAAUAAAAUUUUAAAAAAUAUGAAUUGAGUACACCUUUAAAAUGGAUUAGAAUUAGAUGUCAAGGGAUGUGUGUCCAAGGAUUUUGUGAUGUUUGAUGGGAUUCUAUAGGAAUGAUCGGUGCAUGAUGAAGAAACAAAGGUUAGUGGAUACAAGCAAUGAUUGGAUUCAUAAACUUAUUUAGUUAAGCAAGGUUAUUGCACUGUUAAUAUCUUCGGAGUUACAUAGAGUCAAUGGAAACAUAGGCUUUGAUUUUAGAUACUUGAGUGUGUAUGGAAAAAGAAAACAAAAACGGUUUUUUUGUUGAGCACAUUUACAAGGAAACAACUUAGAAACAUGGUUAUAAGGUAUUUAUUGUUAUAAUCAAGGUAUUAAGUUUAACAUAGGACUGCGGUUGAAUCAAAAAGAAAAUUUAACACAUAACUUUAAGAAUUAAGAACUUAAAAAUAACCAUCAAUGCAUCAUGCAUAUACAUUUUGUAAAUUUUUAUAUUUUUAAUGUAGAAAUGAAUACAUGGUACAUAUUAAUUUAGAUAUUAAUAUUUAUAUAUCGAUUUCUUCUAGUUAAGCCAUUAUAAUUAAUAACUGUGCAAUUAUAAUUAUCUUUUCUAUUUUAACUUAUGGUAAAAACCAUAAUUAAUGUAGAUUUAGUUUCUGAACAUACACUUUCGAAAAAAUAGAGCAAAAAUGGUGCAUAAAUAAACAAUAAAA
rnacentral:lncRNA from 1 species